rnacentral:rRNA from 1 species
UACGUAGGGGGCAAGCGUUGUCCGGCUUUAUUGGGCGUAAAGAGCGUGUAGGCGGCCAGACAGGUCUGCUGUGAAAACUCGAGGCUCAACCUCGAGACGCCGGUGGAAACCGUUUGGCUAGAGUCCGGAAGAGGAGAGUGGAAUUCCUGGUGUAGCGGUGAAAUGCGCAGAUAUCAGGAAGAACACCCGUGGCUAAGGCGGCUCUCUAGUACGGUACUGACGCUGAGACGCGAAAGCGUGGGGAGCGAACAGG